rfam:Schistosoma mattheei strain Denwood, Zambia genome assembly, scaffold: SMTD_scaffold0023351
GCACGACUGGGGAGUCCCAUAAUAGGACGAAACGGCCGUCCAGUGC